UACGUAGGGUGCGAGCGUUGUCCGGAAUUAUUGGGUGUAAAGAGCUCGUAGGCGGUUUGUCGCGUCUGCCGUGAAAGUCCGGGGCUCAACUCCGGAUCUGCGGUGGGUACGGGCAGACUAGAGUGAUGUAGGGGAGACUGGAAUUCCUGGUGUAGCGGUGAAAUGCGCAGAUAUCAGGAGGAACACCGAUGGCGAAGGCAGGUCUCUGGGCAUUAACUGACGCUGAGGAGCGAAAGCAUGGGGAGCGAACAGG
rnacentral:rRNA from 1 species